rnacentral:rRNA from 1 species
AUUGAACGCUGGCGGCAUGCCUUACACAUGCAAGUCGAACGGUAACAGGUCUUCGGAUGCUGACGAGUGGCGCACGGGUGAGUAAUACAUCGGAACGUGCCCGAUCGUGGGGGAUAACGAGGCGAAAGCUUUGCUAAUACCGCAUACGAUCUACGGAUGAAAGCGGGGGAUCUUCGGACCUCGCGCGGACGGAGCGGCCGAUGGCAGAUUAGGUAGUUGGUGGGAUAAAAGCUUACCAAGCCGACGAUCUGUAGCUGGUCUGAGAGGAUGAUCAGCCACACUGGGACUGAGACACGGCCCAGACUCCUACGGGAGGCAGCAGUGGGGAAUUUUGGACAAUGGGCGAAAGCCUGAUCCAGCCAUGCCGCGUGCAGGAUGAAGGCCUUCGGGGUGUAAACUGCUUUUGUACGGAACGAAAAGCCUCUUUCUAAUAAAGAGGGGUCAUGACGGUACCGUAAGAAUAAGCACCGGCUAACUACGUG